GUCAUUGUCAGCUACCUGGGGAUGCGCCUCUCGCUCCCUCACUGUCUUUGCGUGUGUGUUAGUGUGUGUGUGUGUGUGUGUGUGUGUGUGUCGGCCUGUCUACGCACUACACGAAGGCUUAGUUGGUCUUCUUUCGUCUAGUGGGCGCACUCAGGACUUCUAUUUGGAACUGAGUCCGACAGCUCAGGACUGGCUGCUCAAACUCCACAAUUUAAUGAAAAAUCUCAGAUGAUGACUCAGAAAACCUCUAAUGAUCUGAGGAAUAUAUUAAGGGAUUCCAGAGUCAAAGGCUGAUCAUGGAGGGCAUUGAUGAGGGAAGACUUCAGGUGGCUGGAGACCAGAAGAAAGGAACACUGGAAGAAUGAAAACGGUUGUGAUGCACUGCAGUGUG
rnacentral:lncRNA from 1 species